CAAUAGCGUAUAUUAAAGUUGUUGCGGUUAAAAGCUCGUAGUUGGAUUUCUGUUGAGGAUGACCGGUCCGCUCUUUGAGCGCGUAUCUGGUUCAGCCUUGGCAUCCUCUUGGGGAACGCUACUGUGCUUGAUUGCAUGGGGCGGUAUUCAAGACUUUUACUUUGAGGAAAUUAGAGUGUUCACUGCAAGCGUUAGCAAUUGAAUACAUUAGCAUGGAAUAAUAAUAUAGGACCUUGGUACUAUUUUGUUGGUUUCUAGAACUAAGGUAAUGAUUAAUAGGGACAAUUGGGGGCAUUCGUAUUAACGCGUCAGAGGUGGAAUUCUUAGAUUGCGUUACGACGAACUACUGCGAAAGCAUUUGCCAAGGAUGUUUUCAUUGAUCAAGAACGAAAGUAUGGGGAUCGAAGACGAUUAGAUACCAU
rnacentral:rRNA from 1 species